rnacentral:rRNA from 1 species
AUGGCCAGCGCUCUCGCGACGUCCGCGCCCCACGCGCGUGCGCCACCGCCGCCGUCGCCCCCACCUCUGCCGCCCCCACCGCUUGCCCUCCCUCCGCCCCCGUUCAAGCCCACCACCCUCGCCACCCCUGCAUCCGGCCCGUCCGCGCCGCGGCGUCUCUCCUCCGCGUCGGCAUCGGGGCUGGUUCCUGAUCCAGAUGCGUCGUCGCCGUCGCAGCAUCCGGGGCUCUCCUACUUGUCCCCCGGGAUGGUCGCCGGUUUGCCCCCACCGUCCGGCGACUCAGCUCCAUCGACUGAAGCCUCUCUGCCCCCGCCUCGUCUUCGAUCCAUUGUGGUCCGGGAUCCAGCCGCCUGGAUUUGUGUUGACGGCCGUUCCGAUGUUGCACGGGUCGCUGCUGGAGUGCCGCGGUCUGCCUGCUGCGUGCGGGCUUUCUCGGAGGUUGAUGCUGUUGUUGCUGCUCCACCCUCUUCUUCACAGACUCGCCCCAAAUCUGUGGUAAUCCGGGACGCAGCCUUGGCUUCGGGGGAGGGGAUUCCUCUCCUUCCUCAGACCAUGGAGGAUGGAUUGAAGUGCGUGGGAGCAAGGAAUGUGCAAAUGCUUCCAGCAGCGGUCGGGCUGUGCCGCCGAAGGCGCGGCCGGUGCCGCAAGCAUUUCGCCAAGGAUUGCGAGGAGCCGCUAAAGUGCUGGCGUUGCUACAAAGAUUUCCAUCUUGCCAGUCAGUGCCCUGGCACUUUGUCGAAGCUCUCCUCGACGGUGCCUUCCCAUGGUCCUCGACUUGAUGUUGGGGAUCGCCAUGACGCGCCGGCCAGCCAUGCUUCUAGGCAGCGCUCAUACGCCGAGGCUCUCUUAGCGCCACCCCUUGGAGAUCGCUUGGCUCGUAGUGUGGACGGUUGUGUCUUCCCUCUCGCUUCGGUUGAGCAGGAUCUCCUUGCUGCUAUGCUCUCGGCUAGGCCGGUGGGCAUCGAUCCAUGGCCUAAUGAUCCUAUGCUUGAUGAAGCAAUGGCGCCUUCCCCUCAGGUUUUGCCUGUGAUCCUUGGUCCUAGGGAAUGCUCCGCUUGGGGCGAUGACAUGUGGUUCAGCCAUGAUGCCUCGUCCGUAGGGAGUGAGGAAUAUGUUGAUCCUAUGUGCUCGGAGGCUACUCUUCUGUCGCCACACCAUGGAGGCUCCUCCUCGUCUUCUGUGGUGCACUCCCUUGUACGUCUGAUGCAGAGUCCAGAGGAGCCGCUCGGUUUCAACGCGCCUGAUGUUCUGGUUGAGCCUAUGGAUGAGGUGUGCAAUGUUGUUGCGAAGGUGGCGCAAACUAAAGCUGCACCACUAUCUCUGGAGGAUUUUCUCAGCAAGGUUACUUGUUCGCUCCCACAACCUCUGCUUGGGACCCCAGUGCCUUCGCAUGAGGAGAAGAAUGGCGGGCGACGGAGCGGGCGUCUGGAUAAGAAGAACAAGGCAUGCAACAUCCCGACAUCCAAGCGUGCAGAGUAUAGAAUGUUGGAGGCUUUUGAUGAGUUGCCGGAGGUUAGCAAAGUAGAGGGGCCAGAACAAAAGAUGCAAGCAUACCUGGACAUGUACAAAAAACCGCUCUCACCGCAAGUGAUCGACGCGUUGAGCUCUUUGGCGAGGAUCGCUGGGAAGUCAAAGUUGGACCUGUUAGGAUGUUUUUCACCUGAUAAUGUUAGCACAUGA